rnacentral:rRNA from 1 species
GACGAACGCUGGCGGCGUGCUUAACACAUGCAAGUCGAACGGAAAGGCCUGCUUUCCCUUGUGGAUUGCGGGUACUCGAGUGGCGAACGGGUGAGUAACACGUGAGUGAUCUGCCCCCAACUUGGGUAUAAGCCUGGGAAACUGGGUCUAAUUCCCGAUAGGACUGCAGGGUGGUGCCUGUGGUGGAAAACGAUUUUCUAGUGGUUGGGGAUGAGCUCGCGGCCUAUCAGCUUGUUGGUGGGGUAAUGGCCUACCAAGGCGGCGACGGGUAGCCGGCCUGAGAGGGUGGACGGCCACAUUGGGACUGAGAUACGGCCCAGACUCCUACGGGAGGCAGCAGUGGGGAAUAGUGCACAAUGGGCGGAAGCCUGAUGCAGCGACGCCGCGUGGGGGAGGACGGCCUUCGGGUUGUAAACUCCUUUCGACCGCGAGGAAGCCACCUGGUUGGAAGGGUGGUGACGGUAGUGGUAGAAGAAGCACCGGCUAACUACGU